GAUGAAGAACGCAGCGAAAUGCGAUAAGUAGUGUGAAUUGCAGAAUUCAGUGAAUCAUCGAAUCUUUGAACGCACAUUGCGCCCUUUGGUAUUCCUUAGGGCAUGCCUGUUCGAGCGUCAUUUAAACCUUCAAGCUAAGCUUGGUGUUGGGUGACUGUCCGCUUCACCGCGGACUCGCCUCAAAAUUAUUGGCGGCCGGUACAUUGGCUUCGAGCGCAGCAGAAACGCGAACUCGGGCCCGUCGUAUUGGCUCCCAGAAGCUAUCUUCACAAUUUUGACCUCGGAUCAGGUAGGGAUACCCGCUGAACUUAAGCAUAUCAAUAAGCGGAGGA
rnacentral:misc_RNA from 1 species